GACACAGGGUGAAACGAGGUGGGUGGCGGUUGGGAUAGAGAUGGGAGAGUCGAGAGUUAGGAUUUCGACGACACUACCAGCGACAUCUACAUUUCGCGACUGGCUGCAGGGACGCAAAAAGAAGAGGAACGCCUCCCCACCAUUCGGCCGCGCAUGCGCAAUUUGUGAAAUCUCGGCCCGCAUUCGAAAUAUAAUAUGAGGAAAUUUGCCACUUGCUGUAUAUAGAAUGAUUCCAAAUUGUUUGGAGAAUUAGCGUAAUACAUAGGUCAUAUAACAAAUAUUUCUGCUUUGGAGUAUAGGUAAGUAAUAAUAUCAAUUAAUAUUUUUAGAUUGAUUAAAAUUUUUAAUUUAUAUAUAUGAUAUAUAGUUUUUAUUAAAGGAUCUUUAAUAACGUUUAAUUUUUUUUAUCUUUUGUUAUAUAUUAUUUUAUAAUUCUUUUUACACUUAUUUAUCUUUUGAUGAGUUUAGUAAAUUCGAAAAUAAAUAUUCUUUUUGUUUAAUAAUACAAAGAAAAUUGUAGGAGUAUAUACGUACAAUAUAAAUGUACAUGUGAAUUGAACGUGACCUUAAAAACUUAUAAAAUGUCAUUACGUAAAGGUCAAGUGAUUAAAGUUAAAACUCUUAGUAUCCAUGGAAUAAAAAUCUUGCAACAAAACAUGUUAUAAUUAAUCGAUAUAUAAGGAAACGUAUAGCGAUUUCUAAAAAAAAAAUAUAAUCUUUAAAUAUUUAAAAUAUCUUCAUUUCUAAAAAAUACACUCCAUGAAAAAAGCAAAUAAACGUCUGCACGAAAAGCAUCGCCUCCAAUGCACCAUUUGAAACCAUUUUACUUCGUUCUCCUCAUACCAAAUGCACGAACAUGUAAAUUCUCUUUUUAAGUACGGACGUGGAAUUUUUUAUUUUUAAUUUCAGACUGCAAUCCGGAAGUUAAACUCUGAAGUAAAUACCGACCUCAAUCUUAUAUCUUACAUUUAAAAUAUAAAUUUUCAUAAGUAA